rfam:Coniosporium apollinis CBS 100218 chromosome Tnknown supercont1.5, whole genome shotgun sequence.
GGGUGGUUGGCGCAAUGGUAGCGCGUUGGUUUUCGGUCGCCGGAAGACGGAAGACACCAAAGGUUGUGGGUUCGAUCCCCAUGCUGCUCG